ACUAAUGUUGCUGCAGUUAAAAAGCUCGUAGUUGGAUUUCUGGCUUUGGCGCACCCGGCCCAGCCUUUGGUUUGGGUGCCGGCGUGCGCCGGCCACUGUUCCAGGCGAUCUGCUCUGCCAUUGAUUUGGUCGGGGUAGGGAGCCUGGUCUUUCACUGUGAAUAAAUUAGAGUGUUCAAAGCAGGCCGCAGUGCUUUGAAUAGCCCAGCAUGGAAUGAUAAGAUAGGGCUUCGGGUGUGGGGGCGUUUCGGCGCUCUUGCACUUCCUUGUUUUGUUGGUUUUAAGGGCCGGAGUAAUGAUUGAUAGGGAGCGUUGGGGGUGCUAGUAUUCAAUGGCCAGAGGUGAAGUUCUUGGAUUCAUUGAAGACUAACAUCAGCGAAAGCAUUCACCAAGGAGCUUCUCUUUAAUCAAGAACGAAAGUUGGGGGAUCGAAGACGAUCAGAUACCGUCGUAGUCUCAACCAUAAACUAUGCCGACUGGGGAUCCGCCGAUGCUAGCCUAGCUCUCGGUGGGCACCCUAUGAGAAAUCAAAGUCUUUGGGCUCCGGGGGGAGUAUGGUCGCAAGGCUGAAACCUAAAGGAAUUGACGGAAGGGCACCACCAGGCGUGGAGCUUGCGGCUCAAUUUGACCCGACACGGGAAAACUUACCAGGUCCAGACUGAGGAAGGAUUGACAGAUUGAAGCUCUUUCUUGAUUCUCAGGGUGGUGGUGCAUGGCCGUUCUUAGUUGGUGGAGUGAUCUGUCUGGUUGAUUCCGUUAACGAACGAGACCUCAGCCUACUAAUUAGUCGGUCGGAGUCUGAUCUCCGUCCUAUCCGACUUCUUAGAGGGACUAUCUUGCGCGUAGCAGAUGGAAGUUUGAGGCAAUAACAGGUCUGUGAUGCCCUUCGAUGUUCUGGGCCGCACGCGUGCUACACUGAUGCGUUCAACGAGUGUCAAGCGGCCUUUGGUCGCUAAACCCUUGGUCGAUAGAUCCCGGGUAAUCUUCUGAAAACGCAUCGUGAUUGGGAUAGAUGAUUGCAAUUGUUCAUCUUCAACGAGGAAUGCCUAGUAAUCGCGAGUCAUCAACUCGCAAUGAUUACGUCCCUGCCCUUUGUACACACCGCCCGUCGCUUCUACCGAUUGAGUGUUCCGGUGAACUCUUAGGACCGCGCGCCCUCGUGGCGUCGCGGGAAUUUGCGUAAAUCAUAACACUUAGAGGAAGAAGAAGUCGUAACAAGGUA
rnacentral:rRNA from 1 species